UGGUUCCGGCAUCGAUGAAGAACGCAGCGAAAUGCGAUAAGUAAUGUGAAUUGCAGAAUUCAGUGAAUCAUCGAAUCUUUGAACGCAUAUUGCGCCCUCUGGUAUUCCGGUGGGCACGUUUGUUCGAGCGUCAUUGAACACCCCUCAAGCUCUGCUUGGUGUUGGGCGCGCGUCGCGCAGCGACGCGCCCGAAAUGAACUUUGGCUGCGGGGUCCCACUCCGAGCGCUGCGAGGCGUACCAACGUCAUGCGCUGCGGAGGCGGGCCCGGCCGGCCAGCAAAUAACAAAGGGAGCCGCGAGCGGCCUCCCUCCAAGUUUGACCUCGGAUCAAAUGGGGAUACCCGCUGA
rnacentral:misc_RNA from 1 species